GACAUUAAAUAUAAUCACUACAAAAAAAGUGUGGAUUUGCAACGGAACAGCAGUGGCGGUCUAUACACAACCGUCGCCGCUAUUCUAACUUUGGAGGUUUGCGGCCGUUUCCUUUGAACCGUCGUGGCUUAUAUCAUAUCAUAACCCGCUAGAAAUAUUCACUCCAUUCCCUCUUUGUUUUCAUUUCAUUUCAUCCUUAGAUUCAAACUUUCGAUUCCCUUUUGUUUUCAUUUCACUCACAAAAUCCUUCAGAUUCAAACUUCGUUCGUUGAGAUUCAAACCUCAGAUUCGUCUUUGUUCUUCGUUCGUUCAAUCGUCUUCACCCCAAGCUUCAGAUUCAAACCUCAGAUUCGUUCGUUCAACUUUGAUUCAGAAUUGUUCAACCCUAGUUUCAUUUCGCGAAAAGCUUCGAUAUGUUCAACUUCAAUUAAGAAUCGUUCAAUCUCAAUUCACUUCAACUCUCAUUCAGAAUCAUUCAACCUCCAUUCAUUUUCUCUGCAAAGCUUCGUUUCAGAAUCUCUCAAGCCUCACUUCAGUUUUGUCCAUCAUUCAAUUCAGAACCGUUGCUAAUGGUGUGGACAAAAAAGUGCCAGUGCUUUCAAAGCUUGGUUCAAGCUCCCUAACUAAGCUUCAUCAUAAAGUUGGAUCUCAAGGCGCAUCUAAGCCAACAAACAUGCCACCUACUCUUGUUAUGACAAGACUCAUUUUGAUUAUGGUGUGAAGACUCACUUGGUCUUUGAUCUCAUUCAAGUAUGCAAAAUGACUUGGACAAUGGAAAUCAAACAGAAGAAGAAUUGCAUGCUAGAAAAGUAUUUCAAAAUUACUAAAUUUACUCUUGAAGAACUUAUAUUAGUAUAUGUGUAAGUGAUUCAUAGCUGUGUGUUGAGCUCAAGUAAUUAUGUUUCCAGGAUGAUAUCUCAACAUCAAUUAUAUAUAUUUUAACUUUGAGAAUCUUUGAAAAGGUUGUACUUGAGCUUGUUCCAAGGGACUAUGAUAUGGAUACAACAUCUCCUUUACAAAAGUUAGAUAUUGUCAACAUGGUUUCGAUGAUUUUCUUUUAACCAAAUAAUCAUAGAUUCUCUAAUUUGAUCAUGGAUUCUAUUUCAGCUUCAGAACAGGGCAUAGAGAACAAUGUAAACAAUAAGCAAGUAGACAACCUAAUAGAGGUUAGAUCUUUGGUCAUGUCAGAUUUUUGUUUAUAAGGUCCUGUUGUUGAUUUUUGUUUAUAAAGAAAAUCUUUAUUUACUAAAUCAUUAAUCAACAAGAUAUAGAGAAAUUUAAUGAGGUAUGCCACAAUAGUUAUACCAUGGAACUACUGUUGUGAUCUAAGGAAAUUUGAUGUUUGAUUUGUGUUUUAUUUGAUUUAUGUGGUCAUCUUGGAGUUUUUGAGAUGUCUCAUUCAGGACUUGAUUUGUGUUUUAUUUGAUUUAUGUGGUCAUUGGAGAACCAGUCUGUCUUGUGGACAAUUCAAUAGAAGGAUAUGUUUCAUUAUGUUUUCCACCAUGCUAUCAUCAUUUAGUGAAAGGUGUCACAUCACAUUGCUUAGUUGCAAUGCAAUGUUGUGCCUUCAUUCUAAAUACAAAGAGACUUGCAGAAAUCAUGGUUUUUGUUUUAGACGUGGAGAGCAAACAAUGUACCAAUCUUCCUCAUUAUAGAUAAGAAAAUAUAUGGUCAAAUCCAGUUUUAAAGUCAGGUAGCUGAAGCUCUAUAUUAUCAAAUCAACCCUCCUGGUAAUUGUCCUCAUGAAGAAGUAGUCAGGUAUCCAAUUCCUCACUAUUUAGUUUGAAACUGUUCUGUCUGCCAUAAUAUUACGUGCACUUGUAGGUGUUCUUAGCUUUGUUUGGCUAAUUUAACUUUAAAUAUGUGUGUUUUUGUUGGAAUUGGGGGGUGUUUUUAUGAUUUGUUCAUUUUUCUGCCUUUAGGUAUCAAUCAUAGGAAAAAGGAUAUUCUGUUUUUAAUUUGUAUGAAUAAGUUGAUAUAGUUUAUCAUAAUAUAAGUAGUCAGUCUUUUUAAAAAAAAAUAUAAGUAGUCAGUCAAGCUUGUUUCUUGUAUUUGCAUGUCCUUGUUUCUUGUAUGCAUAUUUCUUGUAUAUGCAUGUUCUUGUAGAUAAAGAGUUGGUUUCAGACUAAGCUCCAAGACUCGCCACAAGUCCCUAAAAAUGAAUUGGUUUCUCCACAAGGCCCUCAAUGUAAGGAAGGUUUGUUUGAUCAAGAAAUAAAGAAAAUGAAGAUCAAGAACUGCUAUAUCCCUGUGUUAGAACAUUUGUGUUGUAUAAUUUGUUUUAAUUAGAUAUAGUUUAUAUUUAAUUAGACUUUUGUGUUGAACUUUGGUUGUAUAAUUUUAAUUAGUAUGUUUAAGCAUUAUUUUAAUUAAAGUUAUGCUUUUGUUGAUGAUUACUGUAAUGGAUUUUUAUCAAUUAAUUUAGUAGUUAUCAGUA